CUACGGGGUGCAGCAGUGGGGAAUAUUGGACAAUGGGGGAAACCCUGAUCCAGCAAUGCCGCGUGUGUGAAGAAGGCCUGCGGGUUGUAAAGCACUUUCGGUUGGGAGGACUGCUUCUAGCACUAAUAUUGUUGGAAGUUGACGUUACCUUCAGAAGAAGCACCGGCUAACUCCGUGCCAGCAGCCGCGGUAAUACGGCGGGUGCAAGCGUUAAUCGGAAUUACUGGGCGUAAAGCGCGCGUAGGCGGCUAGAUCAGUCGGGUGUGAAAGCCCCGGGCUUAACCUGGGAACUGCAUCCGAUACUGUCUAGCUUGAGUAUAGGAGAGGAGAGUGGAAUUCCACAUGUAGCGGUGAAAUGCGUAGAUAUGUGGAGGAACACCAAUGGCGAAGGCAGCUCUCUGGCCUGAUACUGACGCUGAGGUGCGAAAGCGUGGGGAGCAAACGGGAUUAGAUACCCGUGUAGUC
rnacentral:rRNA from 1 species